rnacentral:snRNA from 1 species
GGAUGUGAGGAUGAUCUGACUGCUAUAUCUGUGACCUCAUUUAUCACCAGGGUUGUUUGGUUGUUCUGACUGGUUAGGUGGGUGUUCCCUUCCUCCCUCACCACUCUGUGUGUGUCCCUCCUGAAGCUGCAUGCUCAGUGGAAGAGGACAACAUCCCAAGUAUAGAAGGAGUGUACUAAGGUCUCCAGUCUUUGUUCCUGGGGAUACGAUAGCUGUGCUUCCCUGCUAGAAACUCCAAACAAGCUCAAGGAGUGAUCAAAGUGAGUGAAGGAUUUCAGCAGAUGUUAGAGACCAAGCUUUGACUGGACCCUCAAG